ensembl:snRNA U6 U6 spliceosomal RNA
AUGCUGAUUUCGCUAGCACAUAUACUAAAAUUGGAAUGAUACAGAGAAGAUUAGCCUGGCCUCUGUGCAAGGAUAACUCACUAAUUUGGAAAGCGUUCCAUAUUUUU